AGUGAACGCUGGCGGUAGGCCUAACACAUGCAAGUCGAACGGCAGCACAGUAAGAGCUUGCUCUUACGGGUGGCGAGUGGCGGACGGGUGAGGAAUACAUCGGAAUCUACUUUUUCGUGGGGGAUAACGUAGGGAAACUUACGCUAAUACCGCAUACGACCUACGGGUGAAAGCAGGGGAUCUUCGGACCUUGCGCGAUUGAAUGAGCCGAUGUCGGAUUAGCUAGUUGGCGGGGUAAAGGCCCACCAAGGCGACGAUCCGUAGCUGGUCUGAGAGGAUGAUCAGCCACACUGGAACUGAGACACGGUCCAGACGCCUACGGGAGGCAGCAGUGGGGAAUAUUGGACAAUGGGCGCAAGCCUGAUCCAGCCAUACCGAGUGGGUGAAGAAGGCCUUCGGGUUGUAAAGCCCUUUUGUUGGGAAAGAAAAGCAGCAGGUUAAUACCCCGCUGUUCUGACGGUACCCAAAGAAUAAGCACCGGCUAACUUCGUG
rnacentral:rRNA from 1 species